ensembl:lncRNA novel transcript
AUCCACAACAGAGGUUGAAUCUUCUACAGCCCUGACGACUACAGCUCCUCCUCCAGAACACCCUGAGGUGUUCACCUUCAGACAAGGGUCAGGCUCAGCUUUCACACCUGACCGAAGCCACAGUUCAACCUCUGGACCUGGAGCUUAGCAUAACUACAGAGCCUACUACAGAGGUUAAACCAUCUCCAACCACGGAGGAAACCUCAGCUCAGCCUCUAGACCCGGGGCUUGCCAUAACUCCAGAACCUACUACAGAGAUUGGACAUUCCACAGCCCUGGAGAAGACUAGAGCUCCUCAUCCAGACCAGGUUCAGACUCUGCAUCGAAGCCUGACUGAAGUCACAGGUCCACCUACAAAGUUAGAAUCUUCGCAGGAUUCAUUGGUGCAGUCUGAAACUGCACCAGAGGAACAGAAGGCCUCCACAGGCACCAACAUAUGUGAGCUCUGCACCUGCGGAGAUGAGACUCUGUCAUGUGUUGGUCUCAGCCCAAAGCAGAGGCUCCGCCAAGUGCCUGUGCCAGAGCCCUACACCUACAAUGGCAUCUUCACCACCUUAAAUUUCCAAGGAAACUAUAUUUCAUACAUUGAUGGAAAUGUAUGGAAAGCAUACAGUUGGACCGAGAAACUAAUUCUCAGUGAAAAUUAUUUGACUGAAUUACCUAAGGAUUCAUUUGAAGGCCUGCUAUCCCUCCAGUAUUUACAGAUUCUUUCAAAUGUGAAAGGCUUAAGGAAAGUGGGUGUAAAGACCCUCAAGUGGAUGCCAAAGUGCUGCAGAGGCCAUGAAGUAAUAAAACUACAUUUGCUUUAAAAU